rnacentral:lncRNA from 10 species
UUUCACUCACGUUGCCCAGGCUGGAGUGCAAUGGCGUGAUCUCGGCUCACCGCAACCUCUGCCUCCCGGGUUCAAGCAAUUCUCCUGCCUCAGCUUCCCAAGUAGCUGGGAUUACAGGGCCAGGAUCCUCUUCCUGCUCCAGUUGCUGGCCGACCACGUCCCUGGCGUUGGCCUGGUCACAAGGCCGCUCAUGGAUUACUUGCCCACCUGGCAGAAAAUCUACUUCUACAGUUGGGGCUGACAGACCUCCCGGAAGGAGGGUGUGGGGAGGGGUGGGGCAGGGAGCCCCUCUUCCCUAAUAAAACUGACUCCGGCAGCGUCCCAG